rnacentral:rRNA from 1 species
AGUGAACGCUGGCGGUAGGCCUAACACAUGCAAGUCGAACGGCAGCACAGUAAGAGCUUGCUCUUACGGGUGGCGAGUGGCGGACGGGUGAGGAAUACAUCGGAAUCUACUUUUUCGUGGGGGAUAACGUAGGGAAACUUACGCUAAUACCGCAUACGACCUACGGGUGAAAGCAGUGGAUCUUCUGACCUUGCGCGAUUGAAUGAGCCGAUGUGGGAUUAGCUAGUUGGCGGGGUAAAGGCCCACCAAGGCGACGAUCCGUAGCUGGUCUGAGAGGAUGAUCAGCCAGACUGGAACUGAGACACGGUCCAGAGUCCUACGGGAGGCAGCAGUGGGGAAUAUUGGACAAUGGGCGCAAGCAUGAUACAGCAAUACCGCGUGGGUGAAGAAGGACUUCGGGUUGUAAAGACCUUUUGUUGGGAAAGAAAAGAAGCAGGUUAAUACAACGCUGUUAUGACGGUACCCAAAGAAUAAGCACCGGCUAACUUCGUG